GAUCAUGGCUCAGGAUGAACGCUGGCGGCGUGCUUAACACAUGCAAGUCGAGCGAAGCACUUAAGUUUGAUUCUUUGGAUGAAGACUUUUGUGACUGAGCGGCGGACGGGUGAGUAACGCGUGGGUAACCUGCCUCAUACAGGGGGAUAACAGUUAGAAAUGGCUGCUAAUACCGCAUAAGACCACAGUACUGCAUGGUACAGUGGUAAAAACUCCGGUGGUAUGAGAUGGACCCGCG
rnacentral:rRNA from 1 species